CCCCCCACCCUUCAGCCUCCAAACACCUGUUACUCCCCGGGGUCCGGAGUCUCCUCCGAGAGGAGUCAGAAAACUUCUAACUUGCCAUGAUCGCCACCAUUAGGCCAUAUAAGAUAUGCAAAUUAGUGGGGAGGGCCCGGCUUUCGGCCAGAUGCAAAUGGUCGUGGGGAGGGGGGAAAACCGAGAGAGGGAGAGUGUGAGGGGCAGACGGGGAGAGCAGGAGACCCGGGCCGGGAGCGGGGCUGCCAGGGUCCAUUGUACUCACGCCAGGGGGCUGAAGAGAUUCUUGUCCUGGUUCUGUUUAUCAGCCAAACUUUAGCUGACCUUUGGACUUGUUAAACAAGUAGCUUGCAGCCUAGUGUGGAAGGCUCCGGGACUUGUCCACCGGCUGCGGGUCCGGCUUUAGUCCGGAGAGAAGAAGAAACUGCGCUUCGGGGGUUCAGCUCCAGGACACAGCGGUUCCCGGGGCCAGGGGCGGCGCUCUGCAGAGGCGAGGUCAAGGUGGCCCUGGCAGGCGUCUCCCACGCCAAGUUGGGAAGGCGCGGAGUAAGCCGCUGGGGGAAAGAAGUAUUUUUCCACGCCGGCCUGGCCCAGGAAGGAAGCCGGGAACCUUUCAGCGCUAUCCGAGUUUCACCUGCCUCUCCCUGAGGCGCCCAGGGGAAGGAAGGAUGCAGGAGUCGCACCCAGACCUACAGGCUGGACCGGACCUGCAGAAGAACAGGGGCUUUUUAGGAUCCAUCGCUCACAGUCCCAUAGUUCCUGGGGCAGAGAACACCCCCUUCCCCUCUCUAAGCCUCAGGUUCAUCAUCUGUGAAAUAUCGAAACCUAAAGUGCAGGGGAUGGGGCAUUGUACACAAUGAAUGAGACCACCUGUGAAACCCUGUGGUCUAACAAUAGUGUUCACACUUUUCCUUCCGGGAAGGUAGGAAGCCAGUUCCUAGUAGUAAAAUCUAGCCCCUCUGGAGGUUUAGGAUUCUCAGAAUCAGGCAGAUCCAGUGCUGGGGUUGGAGGGACCGGGAGAUUCAGAAUGAGCAGGCAAUUUGCAAAGGAGCUUCUAAGCAAAUUCUCCUCGCUUCCCACCUUUAAAAGACAAUUAGGAGGAAGGGGGGAAUUUCAGCACGGGUGGGGUGGGGAGGGUCUGCAGUCCUGUCUGCUUGUUUCAGGAUCAAAUCUCCCAGGUGUAUGAGGGCUGAAACUCCAGAUGUGGCUGAUCCAAGUCAGGCUGCUAAGGAGCUAGGCUGCCUUUUUUAAAUACAGGGUCUGCUCCACAUGCCUGGGCCACCCAUGAGAAAGGGGUGGUUGUAUGCACAGAGCUCUGGGGGACCUUUACACCGUCUCAGUGUCUUUCCCGGAGAGAGGGGUAAUAAGUUCAUAGAAACGAGGGCUCUUCAUUUCACCUUAUUGUCUUCUAGUUUGUUGUGACAUACGGCAGAUCCUUGGCCCUCACAAUUCAGCCCAAUGGGAGAACAUUUUCUGCCUACCCAGCUCCCCUCAACGGGGAUAAUGAAGUGUUCAGAGUAAAUGUCCCUGGAGAACAAUCGCUUUUUCUCUGUCUCUCACUUACUAUCAGGAUAGAAGCAGUCAAGUGUAAUGAAGAUCAGUUUCUGUGUUUAGCUGGAAAACCCAUUAAAAAACCAGCCAUCACUUCCCUUUUAACAACAAAGCUUUGAUUUGUAGUUCCAA